ACCCUGACGCAGCAACGCCGCGUGGGUGAUGAAGGUCUUCGGAUUGUAAAGCCCUGUUUUCUGGGACGAUAAUGACGGUACUAGAGGAGGAAGCCACGGCUAACUACGUGCCAGCAGCCGCGGUAAUACGUAGGUGGCGAGCGUUGUCCGGAUUUACUGGGCGUAAAGGGUGCGUAGGCGGAUGUUUAAGUGGGAUGUGAAAUCCCCGGGCUUAACCUGGGGGCUGCAUUCCAAACUGGAUAUCUAGAGUGCAGGAGAGGAAAGCGGAAUUCCUAGUGUAGCGGUGAAAUGCGUAGAGAUUAGGAAGAACACCAGUGGCGAAGGCGGCUUUCUGGACUGUAACUGACGCUGAGGCACGAAAGCGUGGGUAGCAAACAGGAUUAGAUACCCUGGUAGUCCACGCCGUAAACGAUGGAUACUAGGUGUAGGGGGUAUCAACUCCCCCUGUGCCGCAGUUAACACAAUAAGUAUCCCGCCUGGGGAGUACGGUCGCAAGAUUAAAACUCAAAGGAAUUGACGGGGGCCCGCACAAGCAGCGGAGCAUGUGGUUUAAUUCGAAGCAACGCGAAGAACCUUACCUGGACUUGACAUCCCUUGCAUAGCCUAGAGAUAGGUGAAGCCCUUCGGGGCAAGGAGACAGGUGGUGCAUGGU
rnacentral:rRNA from 1 species